AGAUUUCGGAGCAAUCUGAAAGGACACUGGCGCACGGGUGUGUAACGCGUAGGUAACCUACCUUCUGCUGGGGGAUAACAUCGGGAAACCGGUGCUAAUACCGCAUAAAGCAACAGUCACGCAUGUGGCAGUUGUUAAAGAAUUUCGGCAGAAGAUGGGCCUGCGUGUCAUUAGUUAGUUGGUAAGGUAACGGCUUACCAAGACGAUGAUGACUAGGGGGUCUGAGAGGAUGAUCCCCCACACUGGAACUGAGACACGGUCCAGACUCCUACGGGAGGCAGCAGUGAGGAAUCUUGCGCAAUGGGGGAAACCCUGACGCAGCCACGCCGCGUGCCAGAUGAAGGCCCUACGGGUCGUAAAUGGCUUUUGGUCGGGAAGAUAAGCCGGGUUUCGACCUGGUGUGACGGUACCGACUGAAUAAGCACCGGCUAACUCCGUGCCAGCAGCCGCGGUAAUACGGAGGGUGCAAGCGUUGUCCGGAAUCAUUGGGUGUAAAGGGUGCGUAGGCGGAUGCCUAAGUCUGGGGUGAAAUCUUGCAGCUUAACUGUAAAAUUGCCUCGGAUACUGGGCGUCUUGAGUACAGAAGAGGAUGGUGGAAUUCGUAGUGUAGCGGUGAAAUGCAUAGAUAUUACGAAGAACACCGGUGGCGAAAGCGGCCAUCUGGUCUGUUACUGACGCUGAGGCACGAAAGCGUGGGGAGCGAACAGGAUUAGAUACCCUGGUAGUCCACGCCGUAAACGAUGUGUGCUAGUUGUUGGCCUGUAUGGGCCAGUGACGUAGUUAACGCGCUAAGCACACCACCUGGGGAGUACGUUCGCAAGAAUGAAACUCAAAGGAAUUGACGGGGGCCCGCACAAGCGGUGGAGCAUGUGGCUUAAUUCGAUGCAACGCGAAGAACCUUACCUGGGCUAAAUCAUAGUGGAAAUAGCUAGAAAUAGCUAUGCCUUCGGGCCGCUAUGAAGGUGCUGCAUGGCUGUCGUCAGCUCGUGCCGUGAGGUGUUGCCUUAAGUGGCGCAACGAGCGCAACCCCUGUGACUAGUUACCAGCACAUAAUGGUGGGGACUCUAGUCAGACUGCCUACGCAAGUAGUGAGGAAAGUGGGGACGACGUCAAGUCAUCAUGGCCCUUACGUCCAG
rnacentral:rRNA from 1 species